GAUGAACGCUGGCGGCGUGCCUAAUACAUGCCAGUCGAGCGAACAGACGAGGAGCUUGCUCCUCUGACGUUAGCGGCGGACGGGUGAGUAACACGUGGAUAACCUACCUAUAAGACUGGGAUAACUUCGGGAAACCGGAGCUAAUACCGGAUAAUAUAUUGAACCGCAUGGUUCAAUAGUGAAUGACGGUUUUGCUGUCACUUAUAGAUGGAUCCGCGCCGCAUUAGCUAGUUGGUAAGGUAACGGCUUACCAAGGCAACGAUGCGUAGCCGACCUGAGAGGGUGAUCGGCCACACUGGAACUGAGACACGGUCCAGACUCCUACGGGAGGCAGCAGUAGGGAAUCUUCCGCAAUGGGCGAAAGCCUGACGGAGCAACGCCGCGUGAGUGAUGAAGGUCUUCGGAUCGUAAAACUCUGUUAUUAGGGAAGAACAAAUGUGUAAGUAACUAUGCACGUCUUGACGGUACCUAAUCAGAAAGCAACGGCUAACUACGUG
rnacentral:rRNA from 1 species